rnacentral:rRNA from 1 species
UACGGAGGGUGCGAGCGUUGUCCGGAAUCACUGGGCGUAAAGGGCGCGUAGGCGGCUUGAUAAGGUUGCGGUGAAAGCCCGGGGCUCAACCCCGGGUCGGCCGUGGCAACUGUCGAGCUGGAGCACUGUAGAGGCAGGUGGGAUUCCGGGUGUAGCGGUGGAAUGCGUAGAGAUCCGGAAGAACACCGGUGGCGAAGGCGGCCUGCUGGGCAGUGGCUGACGCUGAGGCGCGACAGCGUGGGGAGCAAACAGG